CCCGCAUAAAAGGCGCACCCGAUCCGCUGGACGAAGAUGGAGUGACCGGCGCGGUCCAGGCCACGCAGACCCGGCUAGACGCUUCAAUUCCCGCGCAGCGGAGCCGAACCCCGCACAGCCCCUCCAGGAAAGGGAAGCCGCUAUGGACCGCGGCGGCCCCGCAGGCAGCCCCCUAAUCUCCAGCAGCGAGCCCGCGCCCCCGAUAGUCGCAGUCCGAGACUUGAGCCCCGGACGGACUGGGCCGGGACCCUCGGGCCCAGGCGGCGGCGCGCGGUCGGGAGGCGGGCGGCCGGCGGCCGCGAACGCGGCGCGGGAGCGCAGCCGCGUGCAGACUCUGCGGCACGCCUUCCUGGAGCUGCAGCGCACGCUGCCGUCGGUGCCGCCGGACACAAAGCUGUCCAAGCUGGACGUGCUGCUGCUGGCCACCACCUAUAUUGCGCACCUCACCCGCAGCCUUCAGGACGACGCCGAGGCGCCGGCGGACCCAGGACUGGGCGCCCUUCGCGGGGAUGGUUACCUACACCCGGUCAAGAAAUGGCCCAUGCGAUCAAGAUUGUACAUUGGUGCUACUGGUCAGUUUCUGAAGCAUCCUGUCUCUGGAGAAAAAACAAAUCAUGACAAUAUUCCAACAGACUCUCAGCCUUAGGCUCUCCCCUGAUGGGAGCUGGUAGAAAGUGAUGUUGUUGUUAUUAACUGAUAUGAAAUAACUAUAUUUAUUACAUCAGACAUAACAAGCAUUAUUUCUGAAAGUUUUCACGUGAAUCCAUAGUUGGAUAUUCUAAUUUAUCUAAGUAAAUGUGGAAUGAAAUCCUCAGUCAAAUGUAAAAAUACACAGCUUGUCCAUUCAGUAUGAGAGAGUUACUACUAUAAAUUGCAGAAGAAACUAAUGGGAAAAAAAAAAACCCCAUAUGACAACAAAGAAUUGUGUAUAUAGCCAAAGAAUACAUAUGUUUUCUAUAGUGUAUCUAUCACAAGCUCAUCUGUACAAUCUUCCUGGUUUAAAAAAAUUAAAUUUGUAAAACACCAGUAUUUCAUUUUUGAGAAGACCGGCCUGUGCUUAAAAUUGGUCUAAGAAGCCAUUCCAGCUGGAAGGUGCUACAUCAUUUACUCAGUUUUAGCUGAAUAUAUGUGAAGACUAUUGAGCUAUAUGGCGACGCAGUAAUUAGAAAUGGUUUGCUUCCUAGGACAAGUCUUGGCCGCCUUCCUAGAGGAUUAUUAAAUAUCUUACUGUGUUUCCAAAUUAUGGAAGGCGCUGGGCCUCCCUGCAACCCUGUGGGAACAGCAGAUGGUUGUCACUGGGCAGCAGGGUUUGCCACCCUCCCUGCGCCCCAGUCACACCAUAUCCACCCUACUCUCAGGUCCUGCACUAGGUAAGCAGGUUUAGCUGUAGCCCCUAGAGAGAGUGGCAUGUUCAGGCCUGUCGGGGGCCUCCAGUGAACCCCUUGACUUCACAGUCACAACCUUGGCCAGGUUCCUUCUCCCCUUGUCAGCUGCUGUUCAUAGUGAACCUACCUGACCCUUAUGAAACAGGAGAAGUCCUUUCUGACUUGGGACUUUUGGGGCUGAUCUGUACCUUGAAGAGGCUAAGGACACAGAGUGACCAUCCUGAGAUACAGGAUGCUCCAAUUUGGACCCACAAGCAGGAAAAGCCCUCUGCUCUGGGUCUCUCCCACUGCCCCGCACACGAAGUACCCAGGGAGUAGCUCUUUUGCCUGACUGAACCAGUGGUUUCAGUUCUGGCAGGAACUUGAUGGUCCUAGCUGAGAAGUGGGGAUAUUUAUCAGGGAACACAUCAAAUCUCAAAACAACAGAGUGUAGUAGAGACACUUGUUAAAAAAAAAUUAUUAGUCUCUUUUGUCAUCUUUGCUGAUUUAGAUUCCCUUUUAUCUCCCUUUCUUAUUUUUCUCCUCACUCUUUACUAUUUCACUGUCCAGGUGUGUAAAGGUCAUUCAUUUCUUGAUAACCUGCAGUUUUAAAGUUGUGGGUUUGGUCCAACAUUAUAAAAUAGAAAUGUGUAUGAAUGGCCUUGGUUGAAUUAAUAUAGCAGCUGAACCACCAUUUCAUUUCCUCCUCCAUUUAACUCCAGCUUUUGGCAGUGAAAUGAAAUAAAAGACUAUUUGAAGGCAAAGUUGAUUUGAGGAUGAUCAUGUCUCAGCUCAUGUCUGAUAGUUUGUAACUUUUAUUUUAAUGUGAAUGUACUCAUUGUAAUGUGACCAAAGCAUGUCUUUAAAAAGAAAAGGCAUAUAAUAAAAAAUGUCUGCAUAUUAAUAUGUAGCAAAAAUGUUUGUAUAUUUAAAGAUUUGUGAGUAUACUUACCCAUUCAUAUGCCAUUGAAAGGAAUACAAAAUAAAAUGAGAUGGAUUCAGCCAUUCAUUAUUAUAAAUUAUUAGAAUAAAAAAGUGCUAAAAAUAAUCUUUUAAGGAAUGAAAUCAGAACUUCUUUAAAGUUACCUAGAACUGAACUGAAAACACUAAAUGUGAUAGCAAGAAUUUCAGGGGAAAAAUGCCGUUUUUAAAGCAUUUAGUUGGGGAAUAAUUACGAUUUUUGUUGAAUUAUCAGACUUUUCUAAAUCCUCCUUCUAAAUUAUUAGUCAUUGUCUUAACAGUAUUACUUUUUAUUUCUUCUUGUCCAGUUACAAAUGUUUUAAUGCCAAAGAACUAUAGUUCUCUCAUAAGCUUUAUAACAUUUUAUUAAAUUGCUAAAUAUGGUAACAGCGUUUGGUAGGUUGGAAAACUUGAGGUGAAAUUGCAUAUUUUCACUCCAAGUUUAAAAGAAGCAUGCUGUUUAAUUAAUGGUGCAUGGUCAAGAUAAAGGAUAUUAUUACUAAAAUAAAAUAAAGUACCAAU